rnacentral:rRNA from 1 species
GAUGAACGCUGGCGGCGUGCCUAACACAUGCAAGUCGAACGGAAAGGCACAAGCUUGCUUCGGUACUCGAGUGCCGAACGCGGGAGUAUCACGUGUGUGAUCUGCCCUGCACUUCGGGAUAAGCCUGGGAAACUGGGUUUAAUAUAGGACAGGACGAUGGUUACGAUGCCAUUGAGGAAAGUUUUUUCGGUGUGGGAUUCGCUCGCGGCCUAUCAGGUUGUUGUAGGGGUAUGGGCGUACCAAGGCGUAGACGGGGAGCCGGCCUGAGAGGGUGUACGGCCGCACUAGGACCGAGAGGGGGCCCAGAGUGGGAAGGGUGGGAGAAGGGGGGAAUACUGGACAAUGGGCGCACGCGUGAGGCAGCAAGGCCUCGGGGGGGAAGACGGCCUUCGUGGUGUAAACACCUGUCGCGAGUGACGAAGCGUUUUUGUGACGGUACCUGGAGAAGAAGCACCGGCUAACUACGUG